UGCCCCUGUUGCUUAGUUGGUUGAGCACAAGACUCCUAAUCUCACGUUUGUAGGUUCGAGCCCCAAAUUGAGCAA